rnacentral:tRNA from 1 species
CCCCGAAUGGUGGAAUGGCAGACACGCGCGACUCAAAAUCGCGAGGAGAAAUCCGUGUGGGUUCAAGUCCCACUUUGGGGACCA